UACGGAAGGUCCGGGCGUUAUCCGGAUUUAUUGGGUUUAAAGGGAGCGUAGGCCGGAGAUUAAGCGUGUUGUGAAAUGUAGAUGCUCAACAUCUGAACUGCAGCGCGAACUGGUUUCCUUGAGUACGCACAAAGUGGGCGGAAUUCGUGGUGUAGCGGUGAAAUGCUUAGAUAUCACGAAGAACUCCGAUUGCGAAGGCAGCUCACUGGAGCGCAACUGACGCUGAAGCUCGAAAGUGCGG
rnacentral:rRNA from 1 species